CAGCCGCCGCGGGAAUACGAAGGGUGCAAGCGUUACUCGGAAUUACUGGGCGUAAAGCGUGCGUAGGUGGUGGUUUAAGUCCGUUGUGAAAGCCCUGGGCUCAACCUGGGAAUUGCAGUGGAUACUGGGUCACUAGAGUGUGGUAGAGGAUAGUGGAAUUUCCGGUGUAGCAGUGAAUGCGUAGAGAUCGGAAGGAACAUCAGUGGCGAAGGCGGCCAUCUGGGACAACACUGACGCUGAGGCACGAAAGCGUGGGGAGCAAACAGGAUUAGAUACCCCAUAGUCCCUGUCUCUUAUACAC
rnacentral:rRNA from 1 species